GCAGGGGUGGCGGAGUCUGGUCAAACGCGCAGGACUUAGGAUCCUGUAGCUUAGUGCUUGCGAGGGUUCAAAUCCCUUCCCCUGCA
rnacentral:tRNA from 1 species